rnacentral:rRNA from 1 species
AUUGAACGCUGGCGGCAUGCCUUACACAUGCAAGCCGAACGGCAGCACGGGAGCAAUCCUGGUGGCGAGUGGCGAACGGGUGAGUAAUAUAUCGGAACGUGCCCAGUCGUGGGGGAUAACGUAGCGAAAGCUACGCUAAUACCGCAUACGAUCUAUGGAUGAAAGCGGGGGAUCGCAAGACCUCGCGCGAUUGGAGCGGCCGAUAUCAGAUUAGGUAGUUGGUGAGGUAAAGGCUCACCAAGCCGACGAUCUGUAGCUGGUCUGAGAGGACGACCAGCCACACUGGGACUGAGACACGGCCCAGACUCCUACGGGAGGCAGCAGUGGGGAAUUUUGGACAAUGGGCGCAAGCCUGAUCCAGCAAUGCCGCGUGCAGGAUGAAGGCC